UACGGGAGGCAGCAGUGGGGAAUAUUGCACAAUGGGCGCAAGCCUGAUGCAGCCAUGCCGCGUGUAUGAAGAAGGCCUUCGGGUUGUAAAGUACUUUCAGUCGUGAGGAAGGUGUUAAGGUUAAUAACCUUAGCAAUUGACGUUAGCGACAGAAGAAGCACCGGCUAACUCCGUGCCGGCAGCCGCGGUAAUACGGAGGGUGCGAGCGUUAAUCGGAAUUACUGGGCGUAAAGGGCACGCAGGCGGUUAAUUAAGUUGGAUGUGAAAUCCCCGGGCUUAACCUGGGAAUGGCAUUCAAGACUGGUUAGCUAGAGUCUUGUAGAGGGGGUAGAAUUCCAUGUGUAGCGGUGAAAUGCGUAGAGAUGUGGAGGAAUACCGGUGGCGAAGGCGGCCCCUGGACAAAGACUGACGCUCAUGUGCGAAAGCGUGGGGAGCAAACGAGGGAUUAGAUAC
rnacentral:rRNA from 1 species